AUUGAACGCUAGCGGCAGGCUUAAUACAUGCAAGUCGAGGGGUAGCAAGAUUGUAGCAAUACAAUUGUUGACGACCGGCAAACGGGUGCGGAACACGUACACAACCUUCCUACAAGUGGGGAAUAGCCCAGAGAAAUUUGGAUUAAUACCCCGUAACAUAGCGAUGUGGCAUCACAUUGCUAUUAUAGCUUCGGCGCUUGUUGAUGGGUGUGCGGCUGAUUAGAUAGUUGGCGGGGUAACGGCCCACCAAGUCUACGAUCAGUAGCUGAUGUGAGAGCAUGAUCAGCCACACGGGCACUAGGACACGGGCCCGACUCCUACGGGAGGCAGCAGUAAGGAAUAUUGGACAAUGGACGCAAGUCUGAUCCAGCCAUGCCGCGUGAAGGAUUAAGGUCCUCUGGAUUGUAAACUUCUUUUAUAAGGGACGAAAAAAGGUCUUUCUAGAUCGUCUGACGGUACCUUAUGAAUAAGCACCGGCUAACUCCGUGCCAGCAGCCGCCGUAAGAC
rnacentral:rRNA from 1 species